rnacentral:rRNA from 1 species
AACGAACGCUGGCGGCGUGCCUAAUACAUGCAAGUCGAGCGAAUGGAUUAAGAGCUUGCUCUUAUGAAGUUAGCGGCGGACGGGUGAGUAACACGUGGGUAACCUGCCCAUAAGACUGGGAUAACUCCGGGAAACCGGGGCUAAUACCGGAUAACAUUUUGAACCGCAUGGUUCGAAAUUGAAUGGCGGCUUCGGCUGUCACUUAUGGAUGGACCCGCGUCGCAUUAGCUAGUUGGUGAGGUAACGGCUCACCAAGGCAACGAUGCGUAGCCGACCUGAGAGGGUGAUCGGCCACACUGGGACUGAGACACGGCCCAGACUCCUACGGGAGGCAGCAGUAGGGAAUCUUCCGCAAUGGACGAAAGUCUGACGGAGCAACGCCGCGUGAGUGAUGAAGGCUUUCGGGUCGUAAAACUCUGUUGUUAGGGAAGAACAAGUGCUAGUUGAAUAAGCUGGCACCUUGACGGUACCUAACCAGGAAGCCACGGCUAACUACGUGCCAGCAGCCGCUGUAA